rnacentral:lncRNA from 1 species
UAGAGCUUCAUGCCAUCGGGGCGAAAAGCUGGGUUCUCAAAGAACUCAACAAAUUGGUCGGUGUCCCUUUCAAGCCCCAUGUUUGGUAAAUCAGGCAUCAUGUGUGCCACCACUUUGAAGCCAGCAUCCUUGGCUAAGUGGAACGACUCGCACACAGCCUUCACGGUGUGACCUCUGUUGGUGUCCCUGGCCACGUCCUCGUACACACUCUGCACUCCAAUCUCCAGCCUCG